rnacentral:lncRNA from 1 species
GGGAGCUGAGAGUCGGUACGCCUGGAAUAACACCACACGGAGCGGUGGAGAGCAGCGUUCGUUCUCAUUUGCAGAGGCCGACGCUGAGGGUAACGGGACGAGAGGGAAGGAGCUCUGCAGCACGUCGGUACGCGCGGCAUCGCCCAGCUGCUCUGCAAUGGGGACGGAGCCCGAGCCAGCACCAGAGCCCGGAGACCAAUGCACAUACUCAGGACAUGAGCUUCCAGCUACUCUACACCAGGCACUUCGGUUCUCCCUGCUCCGCCACGGAACGGCACGAUAAACUCCACAAUACUCGCUCCUGCGCCAGACACCGAAUACCCCAGCGCUGCAGAGUCCUGGCCCAUCGGCGCAGGGCUCGGACGCCGGGCAGGAGCCGCCCCGGAGAGGCCACAUUCCAGCUCCAGAUCGCAGACAACCCCAAUG